GACAAGUGAAUGUGCAACAAGGGAUCUCUAACCUUCAAACCGUUUGAGGGAGAAUACUCUAUGAUAUGAUUUGGAAUCUCUGGCCAGAGUAUGAAUGAGAUUUAGGAAGUCGUUCCAAAUCACAUUCAAAGUAAUCAUAUAAGCACACGAAUCACAUUGGAUAGUAGACAUGAAUAAAUAAACUAUCAAACCAAACAAUGUGGUCAAGAGUAUUGUAUUAGAGAAAGACCGUAUUGCAUUUGUAAUCCUAAACUGAAUAGGUUCUCCACCUCUUCUGAUUAAACGUGUAUAAUCACUAAAGGGAGAAUUGAAAGUAAGCUUCAAUUCACAAUCGAUGUGAAAUGGUUUUAAUCGCCCACUGCCUCGCUAAAAGGAACCUAAUGGAUCGUACACCAUGUAAGGUGAAGAUUGAAGAAACAAUGGAGAUGAGUAAGAAUAAUUAAAUGGUUUAAUUAUUUAUGGCAAGGAUUAAUUAAUAUGUUAAUUAAUCAAACGAAUAAGUUCGUUAAAGACCUCGGGAUAGUUUUGGACCUUAAAGCCCAAUGGGCUUCGAACAUCAAGCCCAUUGACUUAAGUUGUAUGACAAUUUUAAUGAAUAAAGAUUCACAAAGGCCCAAAAGCCCAAAUUCCCUAUAUGGCCGGCCAUGUUAGAGAGAAUGGCCUUUUGGUUCUUUAGGUCACUUAUUUGAAGUGACUAUAUAAAGGACUUUAUAGCCUAAAUUCAUUAAUGGGUUCUUUUUGGAGAAAAUUGGAGAGAACAUGUCUCUCCUUUUCUCUCUAAAGAGGCCAGGCCCCCUUGGAGGGUGUAUCUAGCAAUCUACUACUCCAAGGUCACUCAUUUCUUCUCCAAUCUCUCCUUGGUGUGGAGACUUAGAGGUUCUC
rnacentral:lncRNA from 1 species